rnacentral:rRNA from 1 species
AGUGAACGCUGGCGGUAGGCCUAACACAUGCAAGUCGAACGGCAGCACCGUAAGAGCUUGCUCUUACGGGUGGCGAGUGGCGGACGGGUGAGGAAUACAUCGGAAUCUACUUUUUCGUGGGGGAUAACGUAGGGAAACUUACGCUAAUACCGCAUACGACCUACGGGUGAAAGCAGGGGAUCUUCGGAGCUUGCGGGAUUGAAGGGGGCGAUGUCGGAUUAGCUAGUUGGCGGGGUAAAGGCCCACCAAGGCGACGAUCCGUAGCUGGUCUGAGAGGAUGAUCCGCCACACUGGAACUGAGACACGGUCCAGACUCCUACGGGAGGCAGCAGUGGGGAAUCUUGGACAAUGGGCGCAAGCCUGAUCCAGCCAUACCGCGUGGGUGAAGAAGGCCUUCGGGUUGUAAAGCCCUUUUGUUGGGAAAGAAAAGCAGCAGGUUAAUCCCCCGCUGUUCUGACGGUACCCAACGAAUAAGCACCGGCUAACUUCGUG